CAAACUCUGUGCUUCUGGGAUACUUGUCUUAGGGAUUUAUCAGAUUUCCCCAUGGUUUUGCAUUUUCAUUUGUACUUUUAUCAUUUUCCUCAAAACACAGAUACCUGGGGUUCGUCUGCCCCUUGACUCCCAGGUUUGGAUUUUGGCAUUUAGCAAAAGCAGUGCCAUCUGCUUCUGCAGUGUCCUCCAGCAACAGCUCCGACAAGGUAUUAAAGUCCUCAUGUCAGACCCCUGCUCCUGACUGGCCAUGUCCUGAGGCAUAGGAUGAUUCUGACCAAUCCCUGGUAUUUCUCAGUUCCAGGAACAUGAUAAGAAUGACAGGUGGAACGAAGCCAUGUUUGCUCUGCCCUGCUUUGGUCACUCCUCAGUAAAAAUCCAUGGUUAUCAUUGUCACUAAGUAAUCUGAACUGAACAUUCCCGGGAUUUGGAAUUCUGCUGAACUCAUUUUACAUGUUAUAAGAUCUCUCUCAUAUCUCCAUCUCUAAAUCUGAUCCUGUUGAACUUCAGUCCAACAUCACCAAUUGUGGGAUGAACAUCUCAAUGACUUCAAUCAACCACAGGGGAAGACAGUUGGGUUCCAUUUUGCCUUCCGAGAACCUGCUGGCAGGCACUAUAGAAUACAUGCUGGUCAAACGGAGCCCAGGCCACCAGCCUAGAUGGUGAGAAGUCUCCUAAUCUGGUGAGAAAAAUCGUAUUCACCAACAGCAAUAAAUAAGAGCCUUUUGCCUGGUAGGACUCCAUCUGUACUACUCUGCUCUCUUCUGGGUACCACAUUUUAUCAAGGGGUAUUUUUUUUUAAAUCUGGAAUGUAUCUUUAGGAUAGAAACCAGAGGGUCCUCGUGAUGAAAGGGAAGGGGGAAAGAUGGGGAAGAGAAAGAUGGGGAGGGAGGCAGAGAAGGAACAGGAGGGGGGAAAGGGAAGAAAUAAAGUGAAGUAAGGGAGAGAAAUGCAGAUGAACGGGGAGAGAGUGAGAGAUAGGAGAGAUCUUCAAAUAUAAGCUUGUCAAUCAUAAAAUAAGCAUUUGUUAAGCAUUUCUUAUUUAUAUCAACUAGCCCGCCCUGGAUUUAGAGAAAUAAAGUCAAAAACAACAACAACAACAACAACAAGCACUACUCAUAAGAAGCUUAUGUUCUAAGAAGCAUUUGUUAAUCACUUACUUAUUGUAUGCUUCAGGAUAUAAAUACAAUAAUUGAAAACAAUCUCAAG
rnacentral:lncRNA from 1 species